AAUUAAUUAUACAUGUACACAAAUGUAUUCAUGUCUUUGAGUAGCCUUUUGUUUUUACACUUUCAUGACUUUUGUCCCAUUUAAAUCUGUCUUGUCUCCUAUUGAUACAUUGUAAGAUUUUAAGAUUCUCCUAUGGUUGUGGCCUCAAGCUUCCAAUAAUAAUUCAAAGUUAAAAUAAUAGCCUGUUGUUAUGUUCUAAUUGUGUUAAAUUUAAUUUUCCUUAAAUCAUUAAUCUACACGGACAGUCACACAGGAUAGAGUUUUGUCACCAACAUGAAUGCCUCCAUAUAAUAUAUUUCUUCAUGUUAUUUCAAUUGGUCAGCACACAGACAGUCAAACAGAAUAGAGUUUUGUCACCAACAUGAAUGCCUCCAUUUAAUGUCUUUUUUCAUGUUAUUUCAAUUGGUCAGCACACAGACAGUCACACAGGAUAGAGUUUUGUCACCAACAUGAAUGCCUCCAUAUAAUGUCUUUCUUCAUGUUAUUUCAAUUGUUUGUGCUGUUUUUAAAGGCAGUGCUUUAAGGCCUGACUUUUAAGUCAUGAGGUUCAUCUUUUCAUACGCAAUCCUUGCUGGGGGUCUUUUGGCCAGAAAUAGAUCCGUAAAUGUUCGAAUUUCUCCUCUUCUUUUUAUACGACCGCAAAUUUUGAAAAAAUUUUCGUCGUAUAUUGCUAUCACGUUGGCGUCGUCGUCGUCGUCCGAAUACUUUUAGUUUUCGCACUCUAACUUUAGUAAAAGUGAAUAGAAAUCUAUGAAAUUUUAACACAAGGUUUAUGACCAUAAAAGGAAGGCUGGUAUUGAUUUUGGGAGUUUUGGUCCCAACAUUUUAGGAAUUAGGGGCCAAAAAGGGCCCAAAUAAGCAUUUUCUUGGUUUUCGCACUAUAACUUCAGUUUAAGUUAAUAGAAAUCUAUGAAAUUUUGACACAAGAUUUAUGACCACAAAAGAAAGGUUGGGAUUGAUUUUGGGAGUUUUGGUUUCAACAGUUUAGGAAUUAGGGGCCAAAAAAGGGCCCAAAUAAGCAUUAUUCUUGGUUUUUCGCACAAUAACUUUAGUUAAAGUAAAUAGAAAUCAAUGAAAUUUAAACACAAUGUUUAUGACCACAAAAGAAAGGUUGGUAUUGAUUUUGGGAGUUUCGGUCCCAACAGUUUAGGAAUUAGGGGCCAAAAAGGGACCCAAAUAAGCAUUUUUCUUGGUUUUCACACCAUAGCGUUAGUAUAAGUAAAUAGAAAUCUAUGAAAUUUAAACACAAGGUUUAUGACUAUAAAAGGAAGGUUGGUAUUGAUUUUGGGAGUUUUGGUCCAACAGUUAAGGAAAAAGGGGCCCAAAGGGUCCAAAAUUAAACUUUGUUUGAUUUCAUCAAAAUUGAAUAAUUGGGGUUCUUUAAUAUGCCGAAUCUGACUGUGUAUGUAGAUUCUUAAUUUUUGGUCCCGUUUUCAAAUUGGUCUACAUUAAGGUCCAAAGGGUCCAAAAUUAAACUUAGUUUGAUUUUAACAAAAAUUGAAACCUUGGGGUUCUUUGAUAUGCUGAAUCUAAAAAUGUACUUAGAUUUUUGAUUCUUGGCCCAGUUUUCAAGUUGGCCCAAAUCGAGGUCCAAAAUUAAACAUUGUUUGAUUUCAUCAAAAAUUGAAUAAUUGGGGUUCUUUGAUAUGCCAAAUCUAACUGUGUAUGUAGAUUCUUAAUUUUUGGUCCAGUUUUAAAAUUGGUCUAAAUUAAAGUGCAAAGGGUCCAAAAUUAAACUAAGUUUGAUUUUAACAAAAAUUAAAUUCUUGGGCCUCUUUGAUAUGCUGAAUCUAAACACGUACUUAGAUUUUUAUACGACCGCAAAUUUUGACAAAAUUUUCGUCGUAUAUUGCUAUCACGUUGGCGUCGUCGUCGUCGUCGUCCGAAUACUUUUAGUUUUCGCACUCUAACUUUAGUAAAAGUGAAUAGAAAUCUAUGAAAUUUUAACACAAGGUUUAUGACCAUAAAAGGAAGGUUGGUAUUGAUUUUGGGAGUUUUGGUCCUAACAUUUUAGGAAUUAGGGGCCAAAAAGGGCCCAAAUAAGCAUUUUCUUGGUUUUCGCACUAUAACUUUCGUUUAAGUUAAUAGAAAUCUAUGAAAUUUUGACACAAGGUUGAUGACCACAAAAGAAAGGUUGGGAUUGAUUUUGGGAGUUUUGGUUUUAACAGUUUAGGAAUUAGGGGCCAAAAAAGGGCCCAAAUAAGCAUUAUUCUGGGUUUUCGCACAAUAACUUUAGUUUAAGUAAAUAGAAAUCAAUGAAAUUUUAACAUAAUGUUUAUGACCACAAAAGGAAGAUUGGUAUUGAUUUUGGGAGUUUAGGUCCCAACAGUUUAGGAAUUAGGGGCCAAAAAGGGACCCAAAUAAGCAUUUUUCAUGGUUUUCGCACCAUAACGUUAGUAUAAGUAAAUAGAAAUCUAUGAAAUUUAAACACAAGGUUAAUGACCAUAAAAGGAAAGUUGGUAAUGAUUUUGGGAGUUUUUGUCCCAACAGUUUAGGAAAAAGGGGCCCAAAGGGUCCAAAAUUAAACUUUGUUUGAUUUCAUCAAAAUUGAAUAAUUGGGGUUCUUUGAUAUGCCAAAUCUAACUGUGUAUGUAGAUUCUUAACUUUUGGUCCCGUUUUCAAAUUGGUCUACAUUAAGGUCCAAAGGGUCCAAAAUAAAACUUAGUUUGAUUUUAACAAAAAUUGAAUCCUUGGGGUUCUUUGAUAUGCUGAAUCUAAAAAUGAACUUAGAUUUUUUAUUAUUGGCCCAGUUUUCAAGUUGGCCCAAAUCGGGGUACAAAAUUAAACUUUUUUGAUUUCAUCAAAAAUUGAAUAAAUGGGGUUCUUUGAUAUGCCAAAUCUAACUGUGUAUGUAGAUUCUUCAUUUUUGGUCCCGUUUUCAAAUUGGCCUACAUUAAGGUCCAAAGAGUCCAAAAUUAAACUAAGUUUGAUUUUAACAAAAAUUAAAUUCUUGGGCCUCUUUGAUAUGCUGAAUCUAAACAUGUACUUAGAUUUUUGAUUAUGGGCCCAGUUUUCAAGUUGGUCCAAAUCAGGAUCUAAAAUUAUUAUAUUAAGUAUUGUGGAAUAGCAAGUCUUUUCAAUUGCACAGUAUUGUGCAAUGGCAAGAAAUAUCUAAUUUCACAAUAUUGUGAAAUAGCAAAUUUUUUUUUAAUUAGAGUUAUCUUUCUUUGUCCAAAAUAGUAAGCAAGAAAUAUCUUAUUGCAAGAAUUUUUUUUAAUUGGAGUUAUCUUUCUUUGUCCAGAAUCAACUUAAAUCUUUGUUAUAUACAAUAUACAAUGUAUAUUCACUUUUUACUACCAACUGAUAAAUUUAAAUAAUCUUUACCAUUCAGUGAUAACAAGCAGUGUUUUUACAUUUUAUUUACAGUUUAUUUUAUGAUGUAUUUAAAUGAGUAGUUAUUGUUGCAAACUCCAUUAGAAUAUUUUAAUUGAGAUUAGUUUUGGAAUAAGGGAAAGGGGGAUGUGAUUAAAAAAUUGGGUUCAAUUUUUCUCAUUUGAAAUUUCAUAAAUAAAAAGAAAAUUCCUUCAAACAUUAUUUUGAGAGGAUUAAUAUUGAACAGCAUAGUGAAUUGCUCUAAGAGAAAACAAAAAAAUUAAGUUCAUUAGAACACAUUCAUUCUGUGUCAGAAACCUAUGCUGUGUCAACUAUUUAAUCACAAUCCAAAUUUAGAGUUGAAUCCAGCUUGAAUGUUGUGUCCAUACUUGCCCCAACCGUUCAGGGUUCAACCUCUGCGGUCGUAUAAAGCUACGCCCUGCGAAGCAUCUGGUUAUGGUAUGAUAUGGUUUUUGUUUCAUUCAUUUACAUUGGGGAUUGAAGAAACGAUCAGUGUGUAUUGUUCGUUUUAUAGAACUUGUUAUAAGUGUGUAUUUUGCAUUAUAAGCAGUCAACCUGACUACAAACUAUCAAUAGUUGUAUAUUCCGUGUGGAAAGAGGUCGGGUCAAUUUCAAGUGUUAUCUGACAUCUAAAGAUUCUUUAAUUAGUUCAGACGUUGAUAUAACAAUGAAAAGUCGACUGAACAUGAUUAAUAUUGCAUCUUCUAUAAUUCAAAGCGGAAUUCGGUUUAUGAACGAGAAACCGUAAAGCGUUUUCAAUUUCGGUAUUAGUUAUGUAUGUUAUCUACGUAUUAUCCUGGUUCCCGGUACUACUUUCCGGGUAUUAGCUAUUUGAUAUAUUUGAUGUGUAACAUUACAAUCGGGUACCAGCCAAUCUACGUGUGUAUGUGUACAUGAUUUAAUGUCAAAAUGACCGACUUAAAAAAUAGUCCAUAAACGUUCCGUAUAAUGAUAUGCAAAUUCAUAACUAAUCGUAACUUUUUUUUAUCUUUGUAUAAUUAAUAUAACAAAAUGGAUUCCUCUAAAUUGAAAAUAGCAUUAUUUUACGAGGAUUUCUCAUAUUUUUUUCACUUCCGGCGCAGUAAUACGUAUGUUUUGAAGAAGCUCGAAGAAUUUGACAAAGUGAAUUGAGAAGGAAACGGAUAGAUAUACGUUCUUGCUAUCAGGUAAAACAAUUUAAAUGUACAGAACAAACACAUUUACUUCACACAAAUAGUACAGGCUUAAGCUUUUUAUUGUCUAGCUUAUACACGACUGUAGUCAAGUGUUUAAACGACGGCGGUGACCUACAAGGUACGGGUCAUACUGGGUCAAGUCUAAAUAUGUAAACCCAUAUCCACGUGCUAUUAGGUAGAACGCAUCGUAAUGCAAUAUCUACAAUUUUUCCUCCUUUAUACAUCGUUUAACCAGAUAUAUUUCUCCUUUUUACAUCGUUUAACAAGAUUUAUUUCUCUUUCAAAUACACUUAAACACGGUUGUAUGUACGUAUCUCUUCUAGUGUUUUCUUGUUGUUAUUAAAGUUCAUUUGUUGAUGUUUAGCAAUUUUUGAACAACUGAACACAGGAGUGAAUGAAUGCAACAAUUAUAUAUACUGAAGACUUGGGCUGUACAAUGAUAGUGUACGUAUAUCAUACUGAUAAUCAUUCUAGCAGUAAUUAUGUUAAUUUAGGAUGUAAUGUCUAAUGACAGGAAUUCAUGAGCUAUGCCUCAGGCUUUCUGAAAAAAUAUCAAUGACAAUGUAAACAGGAACAAAACAUUGACACGAAUGAUGCUCUCUUCUAUGUUAUAUAGUUAUUUAGGUAUAUGUGUUGCACAAGUUUCAAUUAAACUUAAGUUAUAAAACUUUUUUUCAGGGCACAAACCCACUUUAAAGAGACUUGUCUACUGCCAUACCCAUCCUAUUUUCAUGCACCAUUUGCAAGCAAGAGACUGAAUGGUUUGCAAAAUUAAAAAUCAGGACGGUGUCCAAUUAAAACAAAAGAAC